GUGCUGCCCAUCGACGUUUAAGUUGCACGCAGCGUCUCCGCCGUUGCAUUCGACCAUCAUAACCCCAGGUACGGGAGAAGUGGCAGUAAUACGCCCACACGCAUACGCAGAGAAGAGUCACCGUGUAGGAUGCCUCCGAAGCGUCGCCUCGUCUCAAAGUCGCCGUCGUCGCGGCAGAUGGCGGUGGCGAGUGCGCCAAGCACCGCCACCACCACCACCACCACCGUCUCGUCCUCCUCCCUCCAGUCUACAAUGACGUCGCCAAAAGGCAAGCCGUCGCCGAAGCGUAGUGCGCCUGCUCCGACAACUGCAGCUCUUACCCCACGCACAGAGGAACGCACGGAGGGUGCCACCAGCAGCGCCAGUGCGAGCGCGAGCAGCCACAUCAGCUCCAGCUUCGAUAGCCCCCGCGACGACACGGUGGUGUUCACUGGAUACACAGCCGAGAGCAAACACAACGCACACGGCUACGAGCGCCUUCACGACAUUAUCCUGCAAGACAGCGACACCGGCGCCGACAGCGAGGAUGGCAGGGCGAACGAGGAUAAUGUCAUCCUCUUCCCACACGCCGAGGAGCUCGCGAACGCCGCUGCCGGUAUCAACGGUGAUGACGACAACGGCCGUGUAGUACGUCUGGGGACGAUACAGCACCUCGAAGAGUCGGACAGCAGCGAGGACGAGCCGACGCUGAACCGCGUCGGCGACAUUCCGCUGGAGUGGUACAAGGAUGAGGACCACAUUGGCUACGACAUCGAGGGUAAGAAGCUGAUGAAGAAGGAGCGAUCUGCGCUGGAGCGGCUGCUGGAGGCGACGGACGAUCCAAACGCGAUGCGCACCAUCUACGACGCCCUGCACGACGAGAAGAAGACGCUGUCGAACGCCGACCUGCAGCUCAUCUUCAACCUGCAGCGAAACCGCACAACGAACCCCAACUACGACAUGUACUCGGAGGUGCAGGAGGACACAGUCGUCUUUGAUCCUCUCAACCACCCGCUCGCCCGCAGUGGUGGCCCGUCCAAGAGGGCGUUCGUGCCGGCACUGCACGACAUGAAGGUGAUUGCGAAGAUGGUGCGGCGCCUGCGCAAAGAGGAAGCGGAGCGCAAGCUGCGCCCGGGCAAGGAAGAGAAGGAGGAAGAGGAUCAGCUUCUCUGGGACGACGGCCACGUGGAGAUGGACACGCACACGCACUUCAAGUACUUCAACCGCGUCCCAAAGCCGAAGCUUCCGCCGCCGGGCACGUUCGAGAGUUACCGCCCACCGCCCGAGUACCUGCCGAGUGAGCGGGCAAAGCAGCGCCAGGCUCGCCUGCGUGCCAUUGAUCGAAAGGAGCACUUUCUGCCGCAGUCCUUCGACGCCUUGCGCCACGUUCCCUUCUAUCACCACACCAUCCAAGAUCGCUACCAGCGCUGCCUGGACCUCGCCUUCUUCCCUCGUGCGCAGCGCACGCGACUCGUGGUGGACCCUGACAAGCUGCUGCCGGAGCUGCCGGACCCGAAGGACCUGCGGCCGUACCCGGAGAAGCUCUCCUUUCACUACAAGGGGCACACAGCGACAGUGCGUAGCGUGUCGGUGAGCCCAAACGGGCAGUACCUCGCAACCGGCUGCGACGACCAUCUCGUGCGCGUCUUCGAGGUGCAGACGGGCCGUCUCAUGAAGCGGUACGACAUGGGGGCGCCGGUGCAGCAGGUGGAGUUUUGCCCCUCCACGUCCCUCAACAUCCUCGCUGCCGCAGUGGAGUACAGCCUCGUGUUCAUUGUGCCGACCUUCGCGGCUCAUACCCUGGUGAACGACCACACGAUUCGCUUCCUGCGCGCACCAGGGCUGUCGGCAGGUCAGCGGGAGGCGGCGCACGCGCUUGGUGCCGUGGACACGCUCGGCGGUCGCGCGGUGACGCAGACGACGCUCGACGCGGACGAGACAGCGCACGAGGCGACGGCCGACCUGCACGAUAUCGAGGAGCGCGAGAAGCGCGCCGAGUUCGUCGAUGCCAGCGCUAAGGAGCGCAAUGCAGGUAUCGUGGUGAAGAUCGCGAUGCACGCCAAGGUGAAGAAGUUCUGCUUCCACAUCAAGGGCGACUACCUGUGCGCUCUGUGUCCUAAGGAUCACGUGAAGUACCGCCAGACGAUCAUGCUGCAGCUCUCGAAGCGCAAGGUGUUCUGUCCGUUCCGCAAAUUCUCUGAAGUUGUCACGGACUGCCGCUUCCACCCGCGGGAACCCAUCUUCUUCCUCGCGACGACCAACUCCGUGCGGUGCUACAACCUUAUGGCGCACCGGCUGCAGCGGCGCUUCAAGGCCUCAGGCGGUGUCACGACGUGCCUGUCCAUCCACCCCGAGGGCGACAACUUCCUCGUCGGCGACACGACCAGCCACACAUCGUGGUUUGACAUGGACUUCUCCGACAAGCCGUACAAGCGUAUGCGUUCGCACAGGGGCGUUGUGAACGCGCUCGCCUUUCACCCCAAAACGAACGCCUACCCGCUCUUCGCCACGGGCGCCUCGGAUGGCCAGGUGCAUGUGUUUCAUGGCAUGGUAUACGACGACUACAACAAGAACGCGCUGGUCGUGCCAGUGAAGAUCCUGAAGCAUCAGCGGCCGGUGUACGCGGUGGCGUGGCAUCCCACGCUUGCGUGGCUCUUUACGUCCACCGAAGACGGCGUGGUGACGGCGUGGACGGAGUGACAUUGCUGACGCUGACGCUUGCCAAAUCGGUACAUAGGAACGAUGAAGCCACGUCUGCGGUACUGCGUGUCGUGUUGGUGCACACCUGAAGACGGAACUCUACUAGCGCCAACGUUAUUUUGUGUGUGUGUGUGUGUGUGUGUGUGUGUGUGUGUGUGGCCUGUCUAAUGCGUGUCACUGUGUUAUGUUUUCUUUUACCUCUAUUAAGCAGAUUAACGCUGUGCUCUACUCCCUUCUCCCUUCUCCCUCCUCCUCGUGCAUGGGCCCACUGGACGCUCGCAUCAUAAAGAACUCUCCCUUCCUUGCUCAUGGAGGGUAUCGCUU
rnacentral:misc_RNA from 1 species